GGCUCAGAAUGAACGCUGGCGGCAUGCCUAACACAUGCAAGUCGAACGAGACCUUCGGGUCUAGUGGCGCACGGKUGCGUAACGCGUGGGAAUCUGCCCCUCGGUUCGGAAUAACAGUUGGAAACGACUGCUAAUACCGGAUGAUGACGAAAGUCCAAAGAUUUAUCGCCGAGGGAUGAGCCCGCGUAGGAUUAGCUAGUUGGUGUGGUAAAAGCGCACCAAGGCGACGAUCCUUAGCUGGUCUGAGAGGAUGAUCAGCCACACUGGGACUGAGACACGGCCCAGACUCCUACGGGAGGCAGCAGUGGGGAAUAUUGGACAAUGGGCGAAAGCCUGAUCCAGCAAUGCCGCGUGAGUGAUGAAGGCCUUAGGGUUGUAAAGCUCUUUUACCCGGGAAGAUAAUG
rnacentral:rRNA from 1 species